rnacentral:rRNA from 1 species
AGUGAACGCUGGCGGUAGGCCUAACACAUGCAAGUCGAACGGCAGCACAGUAAGAGCUUGCUCUUACGGGUGGCGAGUGGCGGACGGGUGAGGAAUACAUCGGAAUCUACUUUUUCGUGGGGGAUAACGUAGGGAAACUUACGCUCAUACCGCAUACGACCUACGGGUGAAAGCAGUGGAUCUUCGGACCUUGCGCGAUUGAAUGAGCCGAUGUCGGAUUAGCUAGUUGGCGGGGUAAAGGCCCACCAAGGCGACGAUCCGUAGCUGGUCUGAGAGGAUGAUCAGCCACACUGGAACUGAGACACGGUCCAGACUCCUACGGGAGGCAGCAGUGGGGAAUAUUGGACAAUAGGCGCAAGCCUGAUCCAGCCAUACCGCGUGGGUGAAGAAGGCCUUCGGGUUGUAAAGCCCUUUUGUUGGGAAAGAAAAGCAGCAGGUUAAUACCCCGCUGUUCUGACGGUACCCAAAGAAUAAGCACCGGCUAACUUCGUG